rnacentral:rRNA from 1 species
GACGAACGCUGGCGGCGUGCUUAACACAUGCAAGUCGAGCGGUAAGGCCCUUUCGGGGGUACACGAGCGGCGAACGGGUGAGUAACACGUGGGUGACCUGCCCUCAGCUCUGGGAUAAGCCUGGGAAACCGGGUCUAAUACCGGAUAUGACUACCAUGACGCAUGUUGUGGGGUGAAAGCCUUGUGCGGCUGAGGAUGGGCCCGCGGCCUAUCAGCUUGUUGGUGGGGUGAUGGCCUACCAAGGCGACGACGGUAGCCGGCCUGAGA